CGGGUGAGUAAUGUAUGGGGAUCUGCCUGAUGGCGGGGGAUAACUACUGGAAACGGUAGCUAAUACCGCAUAAUGUCUACGGACCAAAGCGGGGGACCUCCGGGCCUCUUGCCAUCGGAUGUGCCCAGAUGGGAUUAGCUAGUAGGUGGGGUAACGGCUCACCUAGGCGACGAUCCCUAGCUGGUCUGAGAGGAUGACCAGCCACACUGGAACUGAGACACGGUCCAG
rnacentral:rRNA from 1 species